GGCCAAAGUAGUUCUAGUGAGAAGUCACAGGAUUUUUGAGGUUGAGACGCAAUGUGGACUACUCAUCCUGGGUUGACAGUUUGACCCAAAAUCAUCUUUAAGCAUCGAGUAUCAAAGGGACGAAUUAUAUGGUAACUAUAUCCAUAUGGAUUCUAGAGUGUUGCUGAGCAUACAUUCGGCCUAUCCAGAUAUUGGGUCCCAUUUGCUAGAUGGUUACAUCGAUUAGUACAAGAAUUAUUCUUAUGCUACCGGCUUAAGUUUGAACCUAUGGGGUCACACACAU
rnacentral:lncRNA from 1 species